GAUGAACGCUGGCGGCGUGCCUAACACAUGCAAGUCGAACGGAGUCGUUUUGGAAAUCUCUUCGGAGAUGGAAUUCUCGACUUAGUGGCGGACGGGUGAGUAACGCGUGAGCAAUCUGCCUUUAAGAGGGGGAUAACAGUCGGAAACGGCUGCUAAUACCGCAUAAAGCAUUAAAUUCGCAUGUUUUUGAUGCCAAAGGAGCAAUCCGCUUUUAGAUGAGCUCGCGUCUGAUUAGCUAGUUGGCGGGGUAACGGACCACCAAGGCGACGAUCAGUAGCCGGACUGAGAGGUUGAACGGCCACAUUGGGACUGAGACACGGCCCAGACUCCUACGGGAGGCAGCAGUGGGGAAUAUUGCGCAAUGGGGGAAACCCUGACGCAGCAACGCCGCGUGAUUGAAGAAGGCCUUCGGGUUGUAAAGAUCUUUAAUCAGGGACGAAACAAAUGACGGUACCUGAAGAAUAAGCUCCGGCUAACUACGUG
rnacentral:rRNA from 1 species